AGCAGCCGCGGUAAUUCCAGCUCCAACAGCGUAUAUUAAAGUUGUUGCAGUUAAAAAGCUCGUAGUUGAAUUUCGGGGUCAGUAGAUUGGUCGUGCCACUGGUAUGUACUGGUCUCACUGGCUCCUCCUUCCUGAUGAACCGUAAUGCCAUUAAUUUGGUGUUGCGGGGAGACUGGACUGUUACUUUGAAAAAUUGAGUGUUUAAAGCAGGCUAACGCUUGAAUACAUUAGCAUGGAAUAAUGAAAUAGGACGUUCGAUCUUAUUUUGUUGGUUUCUAAGAUUGACGUAAUGAUUAAUAGGGAUAGUUGGGGGCAUUGGUAUUCAAUUGUCAGAGGUGAAAUUCUUGGAUUUAUUGAAGACUAACUACUGCGAAAGCAUUUGCCAAGGAUGUUUUCAUUAAUCA
rnacentral:rRNA from 1 species